GUAUACAGAUGGGGAGUCUGUAGUCCAGAGAAGAGAGGUAGCCUCCUUCAGGUCACACAGCAAAUUGGACACAGAGCAGAGUCUAUGCCUACUGCCACUGUGCUAUUCACAUGAUGACCAACUCCAGGCCCCUUUCUUUCCUCAGAAACAGGCAGUGUGGGAACCUCUUUGAGGUUGGGUGAGGGGUAUCACCAGGGGCUGAGGAGAUUACAGUCUCACAGGCUGGGCCAGAUGCCCUAGGCAAGGUGAGCCCAGGGUGCUGCUUUCCAGCAGUCAGGGUUUCUUGCUGGCAAAGAACUGCACCACCCUCCCCUAGGCUUCCUGGACGUGUCGGGAAUUUCUCUCUUGGACAACAGCAAUGCCAGUGUGUGGCCCAGCCUGCCCUCUUCCACAGAACUGACCACCACAGCUGUCUCAACCUCAGGGCCAGAGGACAUCUGCUCCAGCAGCAGUUCUCAUGAGCGGGGUGGUGAGGCUACAUGGUCUGGGUCAGAGUUUGAGGUCUCCUUCCUGGACAGCCCAGGUGCCCAAGCCCAGGCGGACCACCUGCCUCAGCUGACUCUUCCUGACAG
rnacentral:lncRNA from 10 species